UUUGUAACAACUUAAAUUUAAAAUGCAACAUUUUGGCAUUUGCUCAGUAGUGAAUCACUUUAAAGCAGAUUUUUGUGGGAAAAAAACUUGUAUAUGUAAAACCUUCUAUGUUCACAGUGGCAUUAGCCUAGGCACAUUUUUGUUGGUCUCUCCAAGUUCCAUAGAUAAACUAGAAUUUGAUUUUAAAUGCUAAUUUAUGUCUUAGUUUUUACUGUUUGGAAGAAGUUUAACUAAGUGUUACUGAUGACAAGGAUUCAACCUCAAGUAAAGGGCAACCAUCUUUUAAAAGCAAUUUAGCUUGUUAUAUUGUAGGUGCAUAGAUCUGGUGACUGUAGAGAUGGGUAGGAGUUAUACUCAGAACUCACUGAUGGACGUCAAGGUACUGUUAGGUAGGAUUAGGAAGCCUUUGCAAUGGAGGAGUCAUGAGUACAUUAAUCUCUUCAGCCUCACCAACACAAACAUGUACUCUUAGCACUGUUGCAUGGUUGGCUGGCUGGUCCUUACCAAGCAUACUUGGAAGGCCCACAUCUGUAGCUAGAAAGCGUGCUGGUCUGCUGCCUAGAGACAGAUCUGAGAACUGUUUUCAUCUCUGUCAAAUGUUAUCUCCUUUUCUAGUAAGUUUUUGUGAGAUUUCAAAUUAUUAAAAUUACUUCUUAAGGAGUAGCUACUACCUCAUCCUCCCCAACUGACUCUUUCAGUCCCCAUCAAAACCUGCUCUAACUGCUAUUCCAGUUAACACUCUAUGGCUUGCUUGUUUAAUAACAUCAUGCACUUGUGCUCAACCCAAGUAUCAGAAACGCGACUCGCGGCUUUGAGAGGUGAUUGUGAUAGGUCUGCUUCUCAUCUGCAGAUACAAUGCAGCAACUCCAAAGUAUUAAGAUCACACUAAGCUGAAGAUGCACCUUUGCCCUGGUUAGCAACGCAAAACCGUAUCGUCAUACAUGCCAAGGCCUUAGCGUGUAGAUGUCUGUACACCGGCACAGCGAAUGAGCUCACUGCUAAUGGCUGAGUUGCUUAUUUUCAUGAACAAAGAUUAGCAAGAAACUGUUAAACCAUCUUUUUAAAAACUGUUCUAGUUUGUCAUAUUUUAGGCAUGAAGAACUAGCUUGGCUUACUGAAGAAAUAAAAGAUUUAAAGAGAACC
rnacentral:lncRNA from 1 species